CUCAGCUGCUGUGUGUGUGUGAGAGAGAGAAAAAGAAUGGGUCGAGGUGGCAGCUAAAGAACUGAAACACAUACUCUGACGCGUUAAAUCCUGCUCUGUUAAAACCGAGAUCACUUCACGAACCUUUUAAACAACCCGGAAUCACCAGACCGGAAGUGAGGAUCUCUGUGGAAACUGGUAGGUAAGUAAAUAAAAUAAUAACAAUACCAAUCCAAAUCAACUCCCCUGUGCUGGUUUAUUUAGCUCAUAGCGCUUAGUGAUAAUAACGCGUGGUUUAUAACUCCAUAUAAAUGAUGUAUCAUGUUCUAACCUUUAGUUUGGGUUAGUGAAGAGUAAUAAAAGUGUGAGUAUUGAUGGAAUUGAAUAUACACCACAAGACAGGAACACAAUUACACCGUAAGACACAACAACCAGAACAAAAGAAAAAGAGAACAUGAAACAAAAACCAAGUCCACAAGGAGGAAGAAGCAAGAGAUGAAAAACAAACAUGUUUCAUACAGGGAUUAAAUAAUAAUUUAUUUAUUUAAAAAGUAUCAUUAUGUGGAAAGUUAAAUUGCUUUGGUUGUGUAGGAGCUCGCUCGUUUUCGGCUUUCUGAAAAGUGUCUAAAAAUAUGUAAAAGCCACACCCCCAAAAUUUACCUGCGGUUAGGGUUAGGGUUUUCAGGAAGAGCGACGGGUUUAACCGCAGUUAAAGUUUCUGCCGUCCUCUCUGAGGGGUACACCUCUCUACCUGCGUGAAGUUCACCCCACCCAAUGCAAAACGUCGGCAAAAUAGACUCAAUCGUUUGUGCUGGUUUGUGCUGCUAAAAAUUCCGUUUGUCCUGCUUCGGUUUUUAAAAUAUUAAACAUUCAUUUAUAUGCGAUGACGUCACCAGCCCCCCCACAUGCUCCAAAUUUACCCCAAAUAGGCUCAAUCGUUUGUGCCGCUAAAAGCUUCGUUUUUGCGACUGUCUUCUCUUUUUUUAAUUGUGUGUUUGUGUGUGUAUAUGUGUGUAUAUAUAACAACGCCGUUGAAGUACAUGGGGGAAAAAUUCAAACGGCAAACCAAAUCACAUUAAAUAGUCUUAAUUGUUACCUAUGCACUGCGCGUUUUCAAAUUUUAAGGGACACAGCGGAUCACAGGAUGUGUGAAAUGUAACCCGAACUCCAAGACUUGAGUGCAAACACCAUCAAGCCUGACUUCCAGAAAAGCAGAGACUUCUUCUCCCAGCAGGAGUAGGAAAACAAGAUUGUGUGGCCUACAACAAAAAUACUUGAACUUGUGUAAUAAAAUUUAAACAAUGCAAUCACUGCACUACACCUGCACGUAUCCAUUCAGUCAGCCAAUGUGUUAUCGGGUUAAUGUCGUGUCUCUCAG
ensembl:lncRNA